UACGUAGGUGGCAAGCGUUGUCCGGAUUUACUGGGCGUAAAGAGCGCGCAGGCGGUCGUCCAAGUCGCGUGUGAAAGCCCCCGGCUCAACUGGGGAGGGUCACGCGAUACUGCUCGACUUGAAGGCAGGAGAGGGCAGCAGAAUUCCCGGUGUAGUGGUGAAAUGCGUAGAUAUCGGGAGGAAUACCAGUGGCGAAGGCGGCUGCCUGGCCUGUUCUUGACGCUGAGGCGCGAAAGCUGGGGGAGCAAACGGG
rnacentral:rRNA from 1 species